rnacentral:tRNA from 1 species
GGUGGCUCAGUGGUAGAGCACUUGCCUUGCAUGCAUGAGGACCUGGGUUCGAUUCCCCAGCACCA